rnacentral:rRNA from 1 species
UACGUAGGGUGCGAGCGUUAUUCGGAAUCACUGGGCUUAAAGGGUGCGUAGGCGGCGUAGAAAGUUGGGUGUGAAAUCCCUCGGCUUAACCGAGGAACUGCGCCCAAAACUACUAUGCUCGAGGGAGAUAGAGGUGAGCGGAACUUAGGGUGGAGCGGUGAAAUGCGUUGAUAUCCUAAGGAACACCGGUGGCGAAAGCGGCUCACUGGAUCUUUUCUGACGCUGAGGCACGAAAGCGUGGGUAGCGAAUGGG